rnacentral:lncRNA from 1 species
UUCUAGAGCCCGAGGCGUGCCGCGAUACUUUGCGAUUUUUUUUUAAUUUCUUUUUUUACGAUUCGAAGUUUGGGGGGUCGUCCUAUAUUGCGGUCCGACCUAUAGUCCGGUUUUUACGGUACG